GACGAACGCUGGCGGCGUGCUUAACACAUGCAAGUCGAACGGAAAGGCCCUGCUUUUGUGGGGUGCUCGAGUGGCGAACGGGUGAGUAACACGUGAGUAACCUGCCCUUGACUUUGGGAUAACUUCAGGAAACUGGGGCUAAUACCGGAUAGGAGCUCCUGCUGCAUGGCGGGGGUUGGAAAGUUUCGGCGGUUGGGGAUGGACUCGCGGCUUAUCAGUUUGUUGGUGGGGUAGUGGCUUACCAAGGCUUUGACGGGUAGCCGGCCUGAGAGGGUGACCGGCCACAUUGGGACUGAGAUACGGCCCAGACUCCUACGGGAGGCAGCAGUGGGGAAUAUUGCACAAUGGGCGGAAGCCUGAUGCAGCAACGCCGCGUGCGGGAUGACGGCCUUCGGGUUGUAAACCGCUUUCGCCUGUGACGAAGCGUGAGUGACGGUAAUGGGUAAAGAAGCACCGGCUAACUACGUGCCAGCAGCCGCGGUGAUACGUAGGGUGCGAGCGUUGUCCGGAUUUAUUGGGCGUAAAGGGCUCGUAGGUGGUUGAUCGCGUCGGAAGUGUAAUCUUGGGGCUUAACCCUGAGCGUGCUUUCGAUACGGGUUGACUUGAGGAAGGUAGGGGAGAAUGGAAUUCCUGGUGGAGCGGUGGAAUGCGCAGAUAUCAGGAGGAACACCAGUGGCGAAGGCGGUUCUCUGGGCCUUUCCUGACGCUGAGGAGCGAAAGCGUGGGGAGCGAACAGGCUUAGAUACCCUGGUAGUCCACGCUGUAAACGGUGGGUACUAGGUGUGGGGUCCAUUCCACGGGUUCCGUGCCGUAGCUAACGCUUUAAGUACCCCGCCUGGGGAGUACGGCCGCAAGGCUAAAACUCAAAGGAAUUGACGGGGCCCCGCACAAGCGGCGGAGCAUGCGGAUUAAUUCGAUGCAACGCGUAGAACCUUACCUGGGUUUGACAUGGAUCGGGAGUGCUCAGAGAUGGGUGUGCCUCUUUUGGGGUCGGUUCACAGGUGGUGCAUGGCUGUCGUCAGCUCGUGUCGUGAGAUGUUGGGUUAGGUCCCGCAACGAGCGCAACCCUUGUUCACUGUUGCCAGCACGUUAUGGUGGGGACUCAGUGGAGACCGCCGGGGUCAACUCGGAGGAAGGUGGGGAUGACGUCAAGUCAUCAUGCCCCUUAUGUCCAGGGCUUCACGCAUGCUACAAUGGCUGGUACAGAGAGUGGCGAGCCUGUGAGGGUGAGCGAAUCUCGGAAAGCCGGUCUCAGUUCGGAUUGGGGUCUGCAACUCGACCUCAUGAAGUCGGAGUCGCUAGUAAUCGCAGAUCAGCAACGCUGCGGUGAAUACGUUCCCGGGGCU
rnacentral:rRNA from 1 species